CCCUUAGAUGUUCUGAGCUGCACGCGUGCUACAAUGGCGCUUGCAACAAGAUUGCCAACCCGAAAGGGUGAGCGGAUCUUUGAAGUGGCGUCGUGAUCGGGACAGUUGAUUGCAAUUAUUCGACUCGAACGAGGAAUUCCUUGUAAUCGCGAUUCAUCAUAUCGCGCUGAAUACGUCCCUGCCCUUUGUACACACCGCCCGUCGCUCCUACCGAUGAGUCGUCCGGUGAAGUUCGUAGACCUCGUGAUCGCGGAUCACUGGGGGAAGCAAAAUGAACCUCGCGGUUUAGAGGAAGGAGAAGUCGUAACA
rnacentral:rRNA from 1 species